CUCCGAUCGCCAUCCAUCUUUCCUUUGGACGGGGGAGAAGGUGGGGCCAAAGCGUCCGGGAAGGGUCUGUAUUUUUGGGUCUCCAAUAAAUACGGGAAAUUAAUUCUCUUUCCAUUAUAAUGGAGUUUGUUGGGAUGACGGCGGCGUUUGUUGUUUGCGUUGAGUUUGAUCAACGGCACCUUCCGAGGUCAACAAAUGGUCAUCUGCAAAUAAUGAAACGAUCCAGCCGUAAUGCAAUGUUUAUUUUCCCUCUAUAUGCUACUGAACCAAGAAUCACUUCCUUUUCAUAAGUGAGUUUACUGUACUUAUAUUAUUUUACUCUAUUAUUAUUAUCCACACUUUUGAGGAUU
rnacentral:lncRNA from 11 species